rnacentral:rRNA from 1 species
CUUGCCAUUUGAAAGCACUGAUUGUAUCUGAUCCUGGAAGCUAAGCAGAGUCAGGCCUGGUUAGUAGUUGGACGGGAGACCCUGGGGGGAUCAGAGGAAUCUGCAGGU